rnacentral:rRNA from 1 species
GAUCAUGGCUCAGGAUGAACGCUGGCGGCGUGCCUAACACAUGCAAGUCGAACGAAGCACCUUACCUGAUUCUUCGGAUGAAGGUCUGGUGACUGAGUGGCGGACGGGUGAGUAACGCGUGGGUAACCUGCCCUGUACAGGGGGAUAACAGUUGGAAACGGCUGCUAAUACCGCAUAAGCGCACGAGAGGACAUCCUCUUGUGUGAAAAACUCCGGUGGUACAGGAUGGGCCCGCGU